rnacentral:rRNA from 1 species
CCUACGGGAGACAGCAGUGAGGAAUAUUGGACAAUGGGCGAGAGCCUGAACCAGCAAAGUCGCGUGAAGGAUGACGGCCCUACGGGUUGUAAACUUCUUUUGUCAGGGAGCAAGUGGGUCCACGCGUGGGCUUAGCGAGAGUACCUGAAGAAAAAGCAUCGGCCAACACCGUGCCAGCAGCCGCGGUAAUACGGAGGAUGCGAGCGUUAUACGGAUUUAUUGGGUUUAAAGGUUGCGUAGGCGGAAUAUCAAGUCAGCGGUAAAGAUUCGGGUCUCAACCCCGUCGUGCCGUUGAAACUGAUGUUCUUGAGUGGUCGAGAAGUAUGCGGAAUGCGUGGUGUAGCGGUGAAAUGCAUAGAUAUCACGCAGAACUCCGAUUGCGAAGGCAGCAUACCGGCGCCCAACUGACGCUGAAGCACGAAAGCGUGGGUAUCGAACAGGAUUAGAUACCCCUGUAGUC